CGCGGUAUACUGACCGUGCAAAGGUAGCAUAAUCAUUAGUCUUUUAAUAGGAGGCUGGAAUGAAAGGUUUGACGAGGAAUUAACUGUCUCAUUUUAUUUGUUUUAAAAUUUAAUUUUUUAGUUAAAAAGCUUAAAUUUUAUUGGAAGACGAGAAGACCCUAUAGAUCUUUAUAAAAAUUUUUUUAAUUAUUUAUAUAUUAAUGUAAUUAAUUUUAUUUUUAUUUUGUUGGGGUGACAAAAAUAUAUAAACAACUUUUUUAUUUAUUUAACAUUAAUUUAUGGUUAUAUGAUCCGUUUAUUGCGAUUGCUAGAGUAAGUUACCUUAGGGAUAACAGCGUAAUCCUCCUUCAGAGUUCAUAUUUACAGGAUGGGCUUGCGACCUCGAUGUUGGAUUAAGAUAAUAGUUAGGUGUAGCCGCUUAAUGUAUAGGUCUGUUCGACCUUUAAAUUCUUACAUGAUCUGAG
rnacentral:rRNA from 1 species